GACAAGAGCGCAUGUGCAUGGGAAGUCUGGGUGAGAAAAGCCCUCCUCACCUCCCAGCAGCAAGGAGUCGGGAGACCAGGUGUGGAGGUGGCCUGGGACCUGGGAGCCCUCUGGCCUGUGUGCAGCCUGACCCUGAGUCCAUCCUUGCUGUAGCACCUGGUUUGGGGCUUCCGGGCAUGGUGCCAUGGGCACAAAAGGGCAGAAGCUGCCCCGAGGGAGCAACCCUGGGGGCUCUGGGACGUCUUGGAGGGCCAGCAGCUCAGCUCCUGGAGAAGAGGGUCUGCUUUCCAUGUGUGAAGAGCAGCUUCGAGCCAGCUGGUCUAGGGAAAACAAGGUCAGAGCAAACCCAGCCCACACAGUGGCUCCUGCAUGCCUGCUGCUGCUGGGGCUGCACAGAGUGGGCGACACAGGAAGACCCGGGUCCCGUCUCUGCUCUGACGGGAGUGAGGCCUGCUCAGACGGACGCUCGGGGGUGGCCAAGUAGUGCAUGUUUAAGUUAAAGGUUCCACACUAAAACACAUUUCACGAGUCCCUUCACUUCAGACACACUUGGCCCGCUGGCCUUGCCACUUCUGCAAGCGGUUCUGGAGUUCUCCUCCGUGUCUUUAGGGCAUGUGACUGCAAGUCCAGCCAAUGCUGCUGCUGAGUGCCGCCCGGCGAAGGCAGGCUCAGAAAAUGUGAUGCUGCGCCCUCAGCCCCCUAAUCUGGCACCUGUGACUUCUGGAGCUUCCUAAGUCGAAGUGACCAUGAGAGAGAAAUGUUCUGAAUCAAUUCGGAAUACUAAGACAGCGUAACAGUGUAACUAAAGACAAAAGACAGCAAAGAGGAUGCCAGCCCUGCUGCAGAAGGCGGCAAGGACAACGGGACGAGCCGCGCGCGUACACUCUGAGGGAGGCUCCUGGCAGUGUGUUUCUUUCUUUCUGUAGUUAAAAAAAGCCCAAGAGCCAACAACAUGUUCACCAUACUUUUUGAUCACACCCUAUACAAGGGGCCAGCGAGGCCUUCCUUUUAACUUCCUCUUUUUAAGAGGUUCAGAGAAAUCCUUGACCUUUCAAACGCUUAUCUAGUGGACUGCUGCGUUCCCUCAACUAUGCACCGAAUCUGCUCCAAGAGCCAAGAGAAUAAAGGAAACCACGAGACCCUCCAGACGGGUGAGUUCUUUUGUUUGCUGCAGGAAAUGCAAGCCCGAUCAGACAAUAUGUACAUGCCGAAGUCACAGAGACGCUCCCAGCGCACCCAUCCACCAGCGCCUAGGCCAGCGUAACCCGAGUUUCCCAGCACACCUGGGUGGGGCCCUGCGCUACCCUGAAACGCAGCGGAGGCCCAAAGAGAAGGCGCCGACACAGGACGGCUGUGCACAGGCAGUGGAGAUUGUGCUGCCAAGUGCGAAGGCAAGCGUCCGCGUGUGACCAGCCUCUCCCGGCCCUGGCACUCCCGCUGAAGGGUGGGUGCCUUCACGGUCACUUCUGAUGCCAUCCCCCUGCUGCCAGUCUCACCCCACCGGACGUGGUCACAUCAGGGCUGCCACAGCACUCACUGCCUUCGCCCUGACGAGGAGGCUCCUCUGGCUAAGGAGCCCGCGCUGGCAUGCCGAGCAGGGGCCUGGAGAUGGCCCUCUCUCCCUCCUUCCUGUUCCACCAUGUGACUGCUGACCGGGGAGGGGACCUGGACACUCCCUGAGCAGCCUGCUCGUCCCUGAACACGUGAACCCAGGGUCACAUCUGAUUCUCUGCAGGGCUGCACGAGGGACACUGGACAGGAUAAAUGGGAUCCUCCGCCUUUCCCCUCACUUGGAAUUUCAAGAACCUGGGUUGCUGUUUUCCAACUUUAUUACAGCUACCAAGAAUCCUCCAACAGAUGACAUCAGUCUGUCAGACACACCUGCACACAGGUGCCCUGAGCUGUAAACCACCAGAGUCCAUCAGCAGAGGACUGGGUAGAGGAACUGGGCGACACCCACACGACAGAAGACUACCCAGCCACGAGAAGAUGAAAGCUGUCACUGUGGCACUUGGAGAUCGCCGCGUUCGUGGAAUAAGCCAGGCACAGAAAGAUGCACACUGCGUGAGCUCACGCGUGUGUGGAACCUAGAAAGCUGGUCUGAGAGGCUGAGCAGGACAGUGGACACCAAGUGCGGGGAGGAGUGGGGCUGAGGAAAGGCUGACAGGUGCUACGUGACAGCAGAGAGACGCUCGCGUGUUCUGUAGACAGCAAGGUGAGCGCAGAGAACAGUAUGUGCUUGGUUUUUUUUCAUAGCUCGAAGGAAGGAUUUUGACUUUUAAAUCAAGGAGACAGGUUUACUCUGAAUGAACAUUAUGCAAUGUAUCAGAAACCUUUCUAUGGCUGGGACAAAAUCCCUGACAACCAUGACCUAAGGAGAAGGGGCUGAUUCUGGCUCACAGCUGCAGAGGGCUCAGCCCAUGGGGGACUGGGAAUCCCAUCAUGGAGGAAGGCUGUGGUGGAGGAAUGCAGCUCACCUCAUGGCCAGGGGGCAAGCACAGGAAAAGGUGGAGAGGUAGGGUCAGGGACCAGAUACGGUCUCCAGGUGUGUGCUUUCAUAAUCUAGGCAGCUCUCAAGCCAGACAAGCUGCCAAUCAAGAUUAACUAUCACAAGCUAUGUGUCCAUGUACCUAAACAAAACAUGGCGGCCCAGAAAUAUAUAGACAAUUUUAUGUAAUUAGUGAAAGAAAAAAAGAACACGCUGUCUUUGAA